GCGCAAGUGGCGGAAUUGGUAGACGCGCUAGGUUCAGGUCCUAGUAUCAGCAAUGAUGUGGAGGUUCAAGUCCUCUCUUGCGUA
rnacentral:tRNA from 1 species